ACAUCCAGAGAACUUGGCAGAGAUGCCUUGGUGCCUUCGGGACCUCUGAGACAGGUGCUGCAUGGCUGUCGUCAGCUCGUGUUGUGAAAUGUUGGGUUAAGUCCCGNAACGAGCGCAACCCCUAUCCUUUGUUGCCAGCGAUUCGGUCGGGAAACUCAAAGGAGACUGCCGGUGAUAAACCGGAGGAAGGUGGGGAUGACGUCAAGUCAUCAUGGCCCUUACGAGUAGGGCUACACACGUGCUACAAUGGCGCAUACAAAGAGAAGCGACCUCGCGAGAGCAAGCGGACCUCAUAAAGUGCGUCGUAGUCCGGAUCGGAGUCUGCAACUCGACUCCGUGAAGUCGGAAUCGCUAGUAAUCGUAGAUCAGAAUGCUACGGUGAAUACGUUCCCGGGCCUUGUACACACCGCCCGUCACACCAUGGGAGUGGGUUGCAAAAGAAGUAGAUAGCUUAACCUUCGGGAGGGCGUUUACCACUUUGUGAUUCAUGACUGGGGUGAAGUCGUAACAAGGUAAGCGUAGCGAG
rnacentral:rRNA from 1 species